UACGUAGGGGGCAAGCGUUAUCCGGAUUUACUGGGUGUAAAGGGAGCGUAGACGGUAAUGUAAGUCUGAUGUGAAAGCCCGGGGCCCAACCCCGGGACUGCUUUGGAAACUGCCAUGCUAGAGUGCUGGAGAGGUAAGCGGAAUUCGUGGUGUAGCGGUGAAAUGCUUAGAUAUCACGAAGAACCCCGAUUGCGAAGGCAGCCUGCCGCAGCGUUACUGACGCUGAAGCUCGAAAGCGCGGGUAUCGAACAGG
rnacentral:rRNA from 1 species